rnacentral:rRNA from 1 species
UACGUAGGGGGCAAGCGUUGUCCGGAAUCAUUGGGCGUAAAGCGCGUGUAGGCGGCCAGAAAAGUCCGCUGUGAAAACUCGAGGCUCAACUUCGAGCUGUCGGUGGAAACUUUCUGGCUAGAGUCCGGAAGAGGAGAAUGGAAUUCCUGGUGUAGCGGUGAAAUGCGCAGAUAUCAGGAAGAACACCCAUGGCGAAGGCGGUUC